GCCAACGUAGCACAAUGGUAGUGCACUGCUUUCCUACGAUGGGACUUGAACCCACGGGGCACGGGGUUCCUCAGUGAGGCAGAGGCUGUGGGUUCGAGUCCCAUCGUUGGUU